CGUUAGCGGCGGACGGGUGAGUAACACGUGGGUAACCUACCUAUAAGACUGGGACAACUUCGGGAAACCGGAGCUAAUACCGGAUAAGAUAUCGAACCGCAUGGUUCGAUAGUGAAAGAUGGUUUUGCUAUCACUUAUAGAUGGACCCGCGCCGUAUUAGCUAGUUGGUGAGGUAACGGCUCACCAAGGCAACGAUACGUAGCCGACCUGAGAGGGUGAUCGGCCACACUGGAACUGAGACACGGUCCAGACUCCUACGGGAGGCAGCAGGA
rnacentral:rRNA from 1 species